rnacentral:lncRNA from 1 species
AAGCAUCAGGAUGUCCUCCCUGGGAGGGGCUGCCCCUGGCGUUUCUGACCCCAAACCUGCCUUGUGUCAUCGUCAUCGGACGGAGUCCUCGCCCCGGAGUUACCAGUCCGGCCUGGAGUCUCCAGAUGUGACCGAAAAGGCAUCACAGUUCACGACAGCCGUGGGAAACACCAAGCAGGCUCUCGGACCAGAUACUAUGGUAAGAAGUCUUCAGAAGACAGAAAGCAAGGGGAGCGGAACCAAAGGAAGCACCAAGUGUGGAUGCCACGUCUAGGGUGCCUCCGCCACAACAGGCUGGCGGGGCGGCCGGCACGGCGACCGUCGGGCGUGCGGGGGCCGCUGCCCCAUCCCGGUCUCCAGCUGGGAGCGACGGCGUGGCCGUGUGAACUUGAGCAGCAGGGCCUCUGCAGUAAUUGUUUAAGAAGAACUGAGUGUAGUCGACACAAACGUUCCAGGAAUGUCAGGUGCCCAGCACGGUGGUGGGACGCGGCCCCACGGCUCCACACGGCCACCUGCCACCACAUGAUGGGAUGACAAUACCAGGGACUACGAUCCCCACGUGGAACCCCCCAUCCCCAUGUCCUCUUCAAUCCAGAACCGGAAGGCUGGACCUCCCACCUCCCCUCCACCCAUUCUGUCUAUCCCCCACUUCUCACAGUCCAUCUGACUAAAUUAAUACGGAAAUGAGAGACCAAUCAAAGAAGAGGGGAGAUGCAAAACUCUAGUACAGCCUAAAGAUAAAUCGUGUCUGAUUGCUAAAAACAAUGGCGAUCUGGAAUCAGGAUCCCAGAGGACACAAAUGUGGGAGAGACAUGAAGGGGUGGAGAGGGGAGGAAGAAAGCAAAGGAAUUCAGAGUUUUGUUUUGUUUGAAGGAAAGACAUAGAGACUGAUUCCUUCUAGAUGUUGACGGUGAUGUAGCUUUAGUUCGGAUGUGGAGUAUUUAGGGGUUUUCUCCAAAACAACGGAGAAGGCGACGGAACAGGAAAUAUUCAACAUUAGAGAAGAAGCGUGCGAUAAAAAUACUUGGUCCGUUCAGCGAUAGGUAGGAAGUGGGGUGUGGACGAAGAAAAAAGCAGAGUAAAUAGGAAACACAAGAUACAACGACAAGAGCUGGGGCACAGUGACCGUAACUUACACGCACCUACGGAGACAAACCUCAGGUCAGGUCUAAACAUUUACCUCUGUGUUAUUUACAAGGGGCACGUCCAGACCAGGAAUCACACGGGGAUGUGGAAAUCGGAGAGACAGCGCGAGCCGUGCUGAGCAAGACCCCAACGCCCGCACAGCUCAUGGUGCUCUGCUGACAUUAGCUAACACGGGUUUCACGACAGGAAGUAUUAAAGGGAUAGAGGGAUGACGGAUGUCGGCGGGAGGUCCAAUCCACUGACAAGGAUCAGCAAUCGGCAACCUUGUGACCUGAGACCGUGGCUUCAAACCACGGGAUGCAAAAUCUGACGGGUGAAGAAGUAUAGGAAAAAGUUGAUCUACAAUCAGCACGGGACUCUCUCUGAAACCCACAAAUCAGGGCGAUUAUUCACAGUCACUAGCUGGUCACAUAUAUUUCUGCAUAUAUGCAUGUGACAUUUUAGUCAACAGACAGUACACAUUAUUUUCAAGCACACACGAAACAAACAUUCACACAAACCGACACGUAUUAGGUUAGAGCGGAAAUCUCAACGAACUCCGAUAGGUAGGAAUUGCACAGAUCAGACUUCUGUCCGUCCAGUAUGGCAUACCACGUCCUGUGACCACCCUUCCCUCUGACACGGUGCUGGACGUCAUUUUUUCCCCUUAAAUGCACUAAUAAAUCAGAAAGAAAGGAACA